GAUGAACGCUAGCGGCAGGCUUAAUACAUGCAAGUCGAACGGCAAGGACUUUCGGGUCCCUAGAGUGGCGCACGGGUGAGUAACACGUACACAACAUACCCUGUAUUGGAGGAUAGCCUUGGGAAACUGGGGGUAAUAUUCCAUAGUAUUUAUUGGAGGCAUCUCUGAUAAAUUAAAGAGCAAUCGAUAUAGGAUUGGUGUGCGUCCCAUUAGCUAGUUGGUAGGGUAACGGCCUACCAAGGCUACGAUGGGUAGCUGGCGUGAGAGCGCGACCAGCCACACUGGAACUGAGACACGGUCCAGACUCCUACGGGAGGCAGCAGUAGGGAAUAUUGGACAAUGGAGGCAACUCUGAUCCAGCCAUGCCGCGUGGAGGAUGACUGCCCUCUGGGUUGUAAACUCCUUUGUACAGGAGAAACCUCUCAUUUAUGAGUGAGCUGACGGUACUGUAAGAAUAAGCAACCGGCUAACUCCGUGCCAGCAGCCGCGGU
rnacentral:rRNA from 1 species